CAAAAUGUUUCUGUUUAAUUUUGGAGCAGACAAUUACUUGUUUCGAAUGUUGAUUCUUCUAGGCAGCCCUUCUGCUUCUCCUGUUCAUCUGUCAUUCCUGCCACAGUCAGGAUCCAUGCAAGAACUAUACACUACUUGAGAACAUCGAGAAUCGCGACCCAAAGACAUCAGGAAGACCAAUCAUUAUCGACGACUAUAAACUAACACCUGGUUGGUAUGCGGCCCCGGGAAAUGGGAACUGCUUAACCGGGAUCCAGGAGGAACCAAUCGAUGUGGCACCCAAAUCCCUGUCUACAGAAGAGGGAAAACCGGGAACAAAUCCACGAUGUGCAACAAGGUCUGGGUGAGGAAAUGCUACAGGCCGUAUACGAUCUCCACGAGGAUGUGUGGCAAUAAAGAGAUAUAUUAUCUCAAGACGUCCCACAGAAGAUCAGGAUUCUGUUUUUUCAACAAUGAUCCUUGUGCUAGCAAUCCAUGUGCUAAUGGAGGCACAUGCAGAGACUCAGGGAAGUCAAGCAAACUUGAGUACAAGUGCACCUGUGCUCCCGGUUUCACAGGUCGGAACU